rnacentral:rRNA from 1 species
UACGUAGGUCGCAAGCGUUGUCCGGAUUUACUGGGCGUAAAGAGCGCGCAGGCGGCUGGUCAAGUCCGAUGUGAAAUCUCCCGGCUCAACUGGGAAACUGCAUCGGAAACUGAUCGGCUUGAAGAUGGGAGAGGGUAGUGGAAUUCCCGGUGUAGUGGUGAAAUGCGUAGAUAUCGGGAGGAACACCGGUGGCGAAGGCGGUUCUCUGGGCCUUACCUGACGCUGAGGAGCGAAAGCGUGGGGAGCGAACAGG